CGGAAACGAGUUAUCUGAACCUUCGGGGAACGAUAACCCCGAAAAAGAGGCGGACGGGUGAGUAAUGCCUAGGAAAUUGCCUUGAUGUGGGGGAUAACCAUUGGAAACGAUGGCUAAUACCGCAUGAUGCCUACGGGCCAAAGAGGGGGACCUUCGGGCCUCUCGCGUCAGGAUAUGCCUAGGUGGGAUUAGCUAGUUGGUGAGGUAAGGGCUCACCAAGGCGACGAUCCCUAGCUGGUCUGAGAGGAUGAUCAGCCACACUGGAACUGAGACACGGUCCAGACUCCUACGGGAGGCAGCAGUGGGGAAUAUUGCACAAUGGGCGCAAGCCUGAUGCAGCCAUGCCGCGUGUGUGAAGAAGGCCUUCGGGUUGUAAAGCACUUUCAGUCGUGAGGAAGGUAGUGUAGUUAAUAGCUGCAUUAUUUGACGUUAGCGACAGAAGAAGCACCGGCUAACUCCGUGCCAGCAGCCGCGGUAAAUACGGAGGGUGCGAGCGUUAAUCGGAAUUACUGGGCGUAAAGCGCAUGCAGGUGGUUUGUUAAGUCAGAUGUGAAAGCCCGGGGCUCAACCUCGGAAUUGCAUUUGAAACUGGCAGACUAGAGUACUGUAGAGGGGGGUAGAAUUUUCAGGUGUAGCGGUGAAAUGCGUAGAGAUCUGAAGGAAUAUCGGUGGCGAAGGCGGCCCCCUGGACAGAUACUGACACUCAGAUGCGAAAGCGUGGGGGAGCAAACAGGAUUAAGAUU
rnacentral:rRNA from 1 species